AUUGAACGCUAGCGGGAUGCCUUACACAUGCAAGUCGAACGGAGUGGCGAACGGGUGAGUAAUGUAUCGGAACGUGCCCAGUAGCGGGGGAUAACUACGCGAAAGCGUAGCUAAUACCGCAUACUCUUGGAGCGGCCGAUAUCGGAUUAGCUAGUGGGGGGGGUAACGGCUCACCAAGGCGACGAUCCGUAGCUGGUUUGAGGGGACGACCAGCCAAACUGGGAUGGAGAAACGGCCCAGAUCCCUACGGGAGGCAGCAGGGGGGAAUUUUUGACAAUGGGGGAAACCCUGAUCCAGCCAUCCCGCGUGUGCGAGGAAGGCCUUCGGGUUGUAAAGCACUUUUGGCAGGAAAGCGGUACCUGCAGAAUAAGCACCGGCGAACUACGUGCAAGCAGCCGCGGUAAUA
rnacentral:rRNA from 1 species